rnacentral:siRNA from 1 species
CAGUGUACUAACAUUGGUGUA